AUACGGAGGGCGCAAGCGUUGUUCGGAAUUAUUGGGCGUAAAGCGCGUGUAGGCGGCUUGGUAAGUCGGGUGUGAAAGCCCGGGGCUCAACCCCGGAAAUGCAUUCGAAACUGCCUCGCUAGAGUCCCGGAGAGGAGGGCGGAAUUCCCGGUGUAGAGGUGAAAUUCGUAGAUAUCGGGAGGAACACCAGUGGCGAAGGCGGCCCUCUGGACGGCGACUGACGCUGAGACGCGAAAGCGUGGGGAGCAAACAGGAUUAGAAACCCCGGUAGUCC
rnacentral:rRNA from 1 species